GGUUAAGUUAACAAGGGCGCAUGGUGAAUGCCUUGGCACUAGGAGCCGAUGAAGGACGGGACUAACACCGAUAUGCUUCGGGGAGCUGUACGUAAGCUAUGAUCCGGAGAUUUCCGAAUGGGGCAACCCAGCAGUUUUAAUCAACUGUUACCACUAGAUGAAUUCAUAGUCUAGUUGGAGGUAAACGCUGUGAACUGAAACAUCUCAUUAGCAGCAGGAAUAUAAAGAAAUUUCGAUUCCCUAAGUAGCGGCGAGCGAACGGGGAACAGCCCAAACCAAAGUGCUUGCACUUUGGGGUUGUAGGACUGAACAUUUGAGUUACCAAAGAACUUGAUAGUCGAAGGAUUUGGGAAAAUCCGCCAUAGAUGGUGAUAGCCCAGUAGAUUAAAUCAAAUUCUCUCAGUUCAGGAUCCUGAGUACGGCGGAACACGUGAAAUUCCGUCGGAAUCCGGGAGGACCAUCUCCCAAGGCUAAAUACUACCUAGUGACCGAUAGUGAACCAGUACCGUGAGGGAAAGGUGAAAAGCACCCCGGGAGGGGAGUGAAAUAGUUCCUGAAACCAUGUGCCUACAAUAAGUCAGAGCGCGUUAAUGCGUGAUGGCGUGCCUUUUGUAGAAUGAACCGGCGAGUUAUGAUCCCGUGCAAGGUUAAGACUAAAAAGUCGGAGCCGUAGCGAAAGCGAGUCUGAAAUGGGCGUUUUGAGUACGAGGUUAUAGACCCGAAACCAGGUGACCUAUCCAUGUCCAGGUUGAAGGUGCGGUAAAACGCACUGGAGGACCGAACCCGUGUAAGUUGAAAAUUGCUGGGAUGAGGUGUGGAUAGCGGUGAAAUUCCAAACGAACUUGGAGAUAGCUGGUUCUCUCCGAAAUAGCUUUAGGGCUAGCCUCGGAAUUAGGAUCAUGGAGGUAGAGCACUAUUUGGACUAGGGGCCCGUCUUGGGUUACUGAAUUCAGAUAAACUCCGAAUGCCAUUGAUUCAUAUCCGGGAGUCAGACGAUGAGUGAUAAGAUCCACCGUCGAAAGGGGAACAGCCCAGACCAUCAGUUAAGGUCCCUAAAUGUAUGCUAAGUGGAAAAGGAUGUGGAGUUGCAUAGACAACUAGGAUGUUGGCUCAGAAGCAGCCACCAUUUAAAGAGUGCGUAAUAGCUCACUAGUCGAGUGAUCCUGCGCCGAAAAUGUACCGGGGCUAAGCAUACUACCGAAACCAUGGAUGCGACCAUUAGGUCGCGUGAUAGGAGAGCGUUCUAAGGGCGGUGAAGCAAGAUCGUGAGGACUUGUGGAGCGCUUAGAAGUGAGAAUGCCGGUAUGAGUAGCGAAAGAUAGGUGAGAAUCCUAUCCACCGAAUGACUAAGGUUUCCUGGGGAAGGCUCGUCCUCCCAGGGUUAGUCGGGACCUAAGUCGAGGCCGAGAGGCGUAGACGAUGGAUAACAGGUUGAGAUUCCUGUACUAGUUAAGUGCGUUUGAGCAAUGGAGGGACGCAGGAGGCUAAGAUGUGCAUUCUGUUGGAUUAGAAUGUCCAAGCAGUAAGUCUUGUGAAGAGUCAAAUGCUUUUCACUUUAAGGACAAGCUGUGAUGGGGAGCGAAAUUUAGUAGCGAAGCGUCUGAUGUCACACUGCCGAGAAAAGCUUCUAGUGAGUACUUAACUACCCGUACCGCAAACCGACACAGGUAGUCGAGGAGAGAAUCCUAAGGUGAGCGAGUGAACUCUCGUUAAGGAACUCGGCAAAAUGACCCCGUAACUUCGGGAGAAGGGGUGCUGAUCGCAAGAUCAGCCGCAGUGAAUAGGCCCAGGCGACUGUUUAUCAAAAACACAGGUCUCUGCAAAAUCGUAAGAUGACGUAUAGGGGCUGACGCCUGCCCGGUGCUGGAAGGUUAAAAGGAUGGGUUAGCUUCGGCGAAGCUCAGAAUUGAAGCCCCAGUAAACGGCGGCCGUAACUAUAACGGUCCUAAGGUAGCGAAAUUCCUUGUCGGGUAAGUUCCGACCCGCACGAAAGGCGUAACGAUCUGGGCACUGUCUCAACGAGAGACUCGGUGAAAUUAUAUUGUCCGUGAAGAUGCGGACUACCCGCGACAGGACGGAAAGACCCCAUGGAGCUUUACUGUAGCUUGAUAUUGAGUGUUUGUACAGCUUGUACAGGAUAGGUAGGAGCCAUAGAAACCGGAACGCUAGUUUCGGUGGAGGCGUUGGUGGGAUACUACCCUCGCUGUAUGACCACUCUAACCCGCACCACUAAUCGUGGUGGGAGACAGUGUCAGGUGGGCAGUUUGACUGGGGCGGUCGCCUCCUAAAAAGUAACGGAGGCGCCCAAAGGUUCCCUCAGAAUGGUUGGAAAUCAUUCGUAGAGUGUAAAGGCACAAGGGAGCUUGACUGCGAGACAGACAGGUCGAGCAGGGACGAAAGUCGGGCUUAGUGAUCCGGUGGUACCGUAUGGAAGGGCCAUCGCUCAACGGAUAAAAGCUACCCUGGGGAUAACAGGCUUAUCUCCCCCAAGAGUCCACAUCGACGGGGAGGUUUGGCACCUCGAUGUCGGCUCAUCGCAUCCUGGGGCUGUAGUCGGUCCCAAGGGUUGGGCUGUUCGCCCAUUAAAGCGGUACGCGAGCUGGGUUCAGAACGUCGUGAGACAGUUCGGUCCCUAUCCGUCGCGGGCGUAGGAAAUUUGAGAGGACCUGUCCUUAGUACGAGAGGACCGGGAUGGACAUACCUCUGGUGUACCAGUUGUGCCGCCAGGCGCAUCGCUGGGUAGCUACGUAUGGAUGUGAUAAACGCUGAAAGCAUCUAAGUGUGAAACACACCUCGAGAUGAGAUUUCCCAUUCCUUUAUGGAAGUAAGACCCCUGAAAGAUGAUCAGGUAGAUAGGUUAGAAGUGGCAGUGCGGUGACGCAUGAAGCGGACUAAUACUAAUCGGUCGAGGACUUAACCAA
rnacentral:rRNA from 1 species